AGAACAGAAGAAACAGGAAGUUACAGAUUCACAGAUUCACCAGCAGCACCAGCAAGAUGAAUUAGAGUCUACUUCUUUCUUUUCUACUAUCACUAUUAUGUCGGUCUCACCUGGAGACUGGGAGCUGGCUACUGCUUUUCAAUUCCAAUGAUCAGGAGCUGCUGGGGUCAAAGAAUCAGGAGGAGGCUGCCAGCUGAGCAGUGUGCUGAUUCAAACCAUGAGAAUUUCAGAAGAAAAAAGCAUCGCUCUUGCUAUACUUUUUCCGGUGAGUGACAGACAAGGUCUCCAGAACAUGUUAAAUAUGACUACAGAGUGCAAAGCACACCACAAGCAGGGGUACAGUCUCUGCACAGGGCAGAAGAGAUUUUUUCAAAGAUACAUGUGUCUCUGGGAACAAGCUAAGGAAUAAGACCCCCACCAGUGAUCCAAACAUCUGCACAGUAAACAGAAAAUGAUGCCAACUGGUCAGUCACGAUGCCA